AUUGCACGCUGGCGGCAGGCCUAACACAUGCAAGUCGCACGAGUGGCGGACGGGUGAGUAAUGUAUGGGACACUGCCUGAUGGAGGGGGAUAACUACUGGAAACGGUAGCUAAUACCGCAUACUAUCGGAUGUGCCCAGAUGGGAUUAGCUAGUAGGUGGGGUAAAGGCUCACCUAGGCGACGAUCUCUAGCUGGUCUGAGAGGAUGACCAGCCACACUGGAACUGAGACACGGCCCAGACUCCUACGGGAGGCAGCAGUGGGGAAUAUUGCACAAUGGGCGAAAGCCUGAUGCAGCCAUGCCGCGUGUAUGAAGAAGGCCUUCGGGUUGUAAAGUACUUUCAGCGGGGAGGCGUUACCCGCAGAAGAAGCACCGGCUAACUCCGUGCCAGCAGCCGCGGUAAUUC
rnacentral:rRNA from 1 species